CCUACGGGGGACAGCAGUGGGGAAUAUUGGGCAAUGGGCGCAAGCCUGACCCAGCAACGCCGCGUGAAGGAAGAAGGCUUUCGGGUUGUAAACUUCUUUUCUGAGGGACGUAGAACGUGACGGUACCUCAGGAAUAAGCCACGGCUAACUAUGUGCCAGCAGCCGCGGUAAUACGUAGGUGGCAAGCGUUAUCCGGAUUUAUUGGGUGUAAAGGGCGUGUAGGCGGGAAAGCAAGUCAGAUGUGAAAGCUCAGGGCUCAACCCUGAGCCUGCAUUUGAAACUGUUUUUCUUGAGUGCUGGAGAGGCAAUCGGAAUUCCGGGUGUAGCGGUGAAAUGCGUAGAUAUACGGAGGAACACCGGUGGCGAAGGCAGAUUGCUGGACAGUAACUGACGCUGAGGCGCGAAAGCGUGGGGAGCAAACAGGAUUAGAUACCCUUGUAGUC
rnacentral:rRNA from 1 species